CCCUUAGAUGUCCUGGGCCGCACGCGCGUUACACUGAUGCAUUCAACGAGCUUAUAACCUUGGCCGAGAGGCCUGGGCAAUCUUGUUAACGUGCAUCGUGAUAGGGAUAGAUUAUUGAAAUAUUAAUCUUGAACGAGGAAUUCCUAGUAAACGCAGAUCAUCAAUCUGCAUUGAUUACGUCCCUGCCCUUUGUACACACCGCCCGUCGCACCUACCGAUUGGAUGGUCCGGUGAAGCCUCGGGAUUGUGGUUCUUGCCGCUUUAUUGUGGCGUGACCGCGAGAACUUGUCUAAACCUUAUCAUCUAGAGGAAGGUGAAGUCGUAACA
rnacentral:rRNA from 1 species